rnacentral:rRNA from 1 species
UUCUGUUUGGUAGAGUAUAUAUGCUCUAAAAACGCGUGUGACUCUUUUUGUGUCUUAUGUAUGUACUUGUUAAGCCUUUAAGAGAGAAAGUUUACACCUUAUGGAGUUAUAUCACAGAGGUGACACAUAUUAUGUUUACCUUAUUUAGUGUGUAUCACUCGAGUUUCUGACCUCUCAGCUUUUGAUGUUAGGGUAUUGUCCUCUCAUGGCUAUGACGGGUGACGGGGAAUUAGAGUUCGAUUCCGGAGAGGGAGCCUGUGAGAUAGCUACCACAUCUAUGGAGGGCAGCAGGCGCGUAAAUUACCCACUUCUAAAGAGGAGAGGUGGUGACACGAAAUAUCACUACACGGCCAUUUCAUGGUUUUGUAAUUGGAAUGAUGGGAAUUUAAAACCUUCCCAAAAUUCACAUUGGAGGGCAAGUGUGGUGCCAGCAGCCGCGGUAAUUCCAGCUCCGACUAGCGUAUAUUAAAAUUGUUGCAGUUAAAACGCUCGUAGUUGAAUUUCAAAGAGUCAAUAUUUUAACUAAUGCUUUUGGUUUAAGAUGCUUAGGCAAUACAACGUAUCUGCUCUUUGCAUUCAUUAUCCAAAAUGUGUUCUUAUUAUAAAAAGGAUUCUUUUUAAAAUCUCCUUUACUUUUUCUUGUGCAGAAGAGAUUUUGUUACUUUGAGUAUAUUAGAGUGUUCAAAGCACACUGUUAGAGCAUUUUACAGUGCGUUUGAAUACUACCAGCGCGUGGUAUAACAAAAUUGCACGUGUCAUAACUCUGUUUCUUUUUCUUAUUUUGGCUUAGUUAAUAUUAAAAAGAAUAGCGUGGGGGCUUUGUACUCAUAUGUCAGACGAGAAAAAA